GGAUGAAAGGUCGCUCGAGGUCAGGAUACGCCAUGACAGGUGGAUUGGUGAGCUUAUUCACAAAGGUCUCCAAAAUGGCUUUGUGUGCAUCUGUCCACUGUACAGGUGAGGAGGGCGAGAGCUGGUAGCUGGCACGCUUCAUCCCCUUCUUGUGGUGGUGCUUUGGCUCACAUUUUGGCUUUGCCAGCAGCUCAUACAGUGGCUUCGCAGUCCUGGAGAAGUCCUGGAUGUAAGCUCUGUAGUAGCUCAGGAAUCCAAGGAGCUUUCUCACCUCCUUCACUGUAGCUGGGGUCUGGUGUGCGAGCGCCUUUACUGCCUCCACCUCCUUUGGGUUCAUCCUGUAUCCUUCUGCAGAGAUGACACGACCAACAUAGGUUACUUGUGGCUUGAAAAAUUCACAUUUACCUGCUCUGAGCUUGAUUCCACAGGCUUUCUGUCGUUGCAGGACUUGUCUGACAUUGUGCACAUGUUGGUCAAAUGUGCGGCUGAACACAAGGACAUCAUCCAGGUAGGGCACACAGACUUCGUCCCUCAGAUCUCCCAGGCAUCCCUCCAUAUGGCGUUGAAAAGCAGCCGGGGCAUUUGACAGUCCAAAUGGGAUUCGGAGCCACUCGUAGAGUCCCCAAGGUGUUAUGAAGGCUGUACAGGGUCUGCUCUUCUCGCUCAUGAAGCCUUGGUGGUAUGCUUUGCCUUGGUCCAAGACCGUGAACCAAGAGUUUCCUCCCAAGUUCUCCAGGAUUUCUUGGAUUCUGGGGAUGGGAUGGCGGUCUGGUAGGGUCUUCUCAUUCAGCAGCCUAUAGUCAAUGCAUAAACGUAGUGUUCCAUCCUUUUUACGCACACAGACUACAGGAGACGAGUAGGAUGAGUACGACUUUUGUAUCCAGCCUCUGUUAAGCAUGUCCUGAAUGUGAGUUUUGACCUCUUGAUACAGGUGACGGGGUAUUGCAUUGUAAGUUCUUUGGACCGGAACAGAGUCUUUCAAAUUAAUGUCCAUCUGCAAGUCUGUAAUGCAACCAGCGUCCCACUCAUCUCUGGCAAACACGUCACACUCCUCCCUCAGCAUCUGCCGGACUUUAUGCUGCUGCUCUGUAGAGAGGUGACUUAAGUCCACGGGCGGGUCCCAGGGCUCCCCUUGUGGUGCUUUAUUAAACUGCUCCAGUGAUGAUGUGGUGCUGUUCUCUGAUGGCUGACAGUCAGCAGACUUGGACUCAAGUGGAUAGACAGCGUCGACACUAUGUAACCAGCCAAGUGUUGUUCGGCCACAUAGCAUAAUGUCACAAGUUGUUGUAUUCUCAACAGUAACUUUAAUCCUUGUGUGGUCUUGGGGGAGGUCGAUCAGCUGCUCUCUCACUUUGAGUCCAGUGGGCCACGGUGUCUCUGGGUUAGGCUCUAGCAGAGCAUUAGGUCCAUUCAGCACACCCUGCUGUACAUAGUUACAGUGCACUUGAAUAGCUUUGUUCUUAGGGACAGUGACUGAUAUUCUUCCCACCCGAGCAAUAUGGGGAUUGUUCUCAGGUGGCUGCUUCUUUAAGACUGUUAGAACAGCUCUGGCAGUUUUCUGUCCCACUUCAAGUGCUGAACAGAACCUCUUCACCAUGUGACCAGCAGGAAAACAGUUCUCAGAGUCCUCAUUAGUCAAAGCCAGCUCUUCAAUUACAUUAAAUCCAAUAAUAGGACGUUCAAGCUCUGUGGUGGCGACGAGGAUGGGGACAACCACAGGCUUGUCACUCAUCCCAGCUACAGCAUUCUGGGACAGUGUGAACUCCACUUCAAUCCAGCCUUGGUACGGGAUCUGUGUUCCAUUGGCGGCAGACAGGUCCAGUCCUCCUUCCUCCAGUAACUCCUCCACAGGCCGCACGGCAACGUCUGGUUGUAGGCAGCAGUCAUUUUCUCCAGUAGGACCUCAUCUGUUACUGUUGGAUUCUGUAGGUGAGGCUUUAAAUCUGUGCGAAUGGUGUCAUCAUGGAGUCCAGUGAGUAUUGUUUGCAGAAACUGAUUUUGAAUUAGCUCUGGGCUGUACUUCAAUCCUGUAUCUGCCCUCUCUGAUGCAAAGAGUAUUUGUUGCCUCAGGUCCAUGGCUCGAACUAGAAACUGGACUGGAGUCUCUCUGGGCUCUUGUGCAGCACGUUACCAUCUGUGGCCGCUGGGGAGCGGUGUAGCGACGUGGGACCGGACUUUGACAACGCUUUUAAUUCAUCAAUUUUAUCAGUCACUUUCAACAAUAAGGAC